ACGGAGGGUGCAAGCGUUAUUCGGAAUUACUGGGCGUAAAGCGCGUGUAGGCGGCCCUGCAAGUCUGAUGUGAAAGCCCAUGGCUUAACCCUGGUAGGCCUUGGGAACUGGAAGACUUGAGUGCAGGAGAGGAAAGUGGAAUUCCUAGUGUAGCGGUGAAAUGCGUAGAGAUGAGGAGGAACACCAGUGGCGAAGGCGACUUUCUGGACUGUAACUGACACUGAGGCACGAAAGCGUGGGGAGCAAACAG
rnacentral:rRNA from 1 species